rnacentral:lncRNA from 1 species
CAAUUCUACCCCAUGUCAGAUUUGCUCUAAAUGCUUUGGUUUUUGAGUUAUAAGCCAAAAACUGCAUUUUACCCCUAUGUUCUAUUUUUAGCCAUGGCGGCCAUCUUGGAUGGUUGGCCGGGUCACCGGACACAUUUUUUAAACUAGAUACCCCAAUGAUGAUUGUGGCCAAGUUUGGUUUAAUUUGGCCCAGUAGUUUCAGAGGAGAAGAUUUUUGUAAAAGUUAACGACGACGACGGACGACGACGACGGACGACGGACGCCAAGUGAUGAGAAAAGCUCACUUGGCCUUUUAGGCCAGGUGAGCUAAAAACAAAAA